ACAGGGUUGGUAGGUUGGUUAAAGGGUUGGUGGGUUGGUAACAGGGUUACAGGGUUGGUAGGUUGGUUAAAGGGUUGGUGGGUUGGUAACAGGGUUACAGGGUUGGUAGGUUGGUUAAAGGGUUGGUGGGUUGGUAACAGGGUUACAGGGUUGGUAGGUUGGUUAAAGGGUUGGUGGGUUGGUAACAGGGUUACAGGGUUGGUAGGUUGGUUAAAGGGUUGGUGGGUUGGUAACAGGGUUACAGGGUUGGUAGGUUGGUUAAAGGGUUGGUGGGUUGGUAACAGGGUUACAGGGUUGGUAGGUUGGUUAAAGGGUUGGUGGGUUGGUAACAGGGUUACAGGGUUGGUAGGUUGGUUAAAGGGUUGGUGGGUUGGUAACAGGGUUACAGGGUUGGUAGGUUGGUUAAAGGGUUGGUGGGUUGGUAACAGGGUUACAGGGUUGGUAGGUUGGUUAAAGGGUUGGUGGGUUGGUAACAGGGUUACAGGGUUGGUAGGUUGGUUAAAGGGUUGGUGGGUUGGUAACAGGGUUACAGGGUUGGUAGGUUGGUUAAAGGGUUGGUGGGUUGGUAACAGGGUUACAGGGUUGGUAGGUUGGUUAAAGGGUUGGUGGGUUGGUAACAGGGUUACAGGGUUGGUAGGUUGGUUAAAGGGUUGGUGGGUUGGUAACAGGGUUACAGGGUUGGUAGGUUGGUUAAAGGGUUGGUGGGUUGGUAACAGGGUUACAGGGUUGGUAGGUUGGUUAAAGGGUUGGUGGGUUGGUAACAGGGUUACAGGGUUGGUAGGUUGGUAACAGGGUUACAGGGUUGGUAGGUUGGUUAAAGGGUUGGUGGGUUGGUAACAGGGUUACAGGGUUGGUAGGUUGGUUAAAGGGUUGGUGGGUUGGUAACAGGGUUACAGGGUUGGUAGGUUGGUUAAAGGGUUGGUGGGUUGGUAACAGGGUUACAGGGUUGGUAGGUUGGUUAAAGGGUUGGUGGGUUGGUAACAGGGUUACAGGGUUGGUAGGUUGGUAACAGGGUUACAGGGUUGGUAGGUUGGUUAAAGGGUUGGUGGGUUGGUAACAGGGUUACAGGGUUGGUAGGUUGGUUAAAGGGUUGGUGGGUUGGUAACAGGGUUACAGGGUUGGUAGGUUGGUUAAAGGGUUGGUGGGUUGGUAACAGGGUUACAGGGUUGGUAGGUUGGUUAAAGGGUUGGUGGGUUGGUAACAGGGUUACAGGGUUGGUAGGUUGGUUAAAGGGUUGGUGGGUUGGUAACAGGGUUACAGGGUUGGUAGGUUGGUUAAAGGGUUGGUGGGUUGGUAACAGGGUUACAGGGUUGGUAGGUUGGUUAAAGGGUUGGUGGGUUGGUAACAGGGUUACAGGGUUGGUAGGUUGGUUAAAGGGUUGGUGGGUUGGUAACAGGGUUACAGGGUUGGUAGGUUGGUUAAAGGGUUGGUGGGUUGGUAACAGGGUUACAGGGUUGGUAGGUUGGUUAAAGGGUUGGUGGGUUGGUAACAGGGUUACAGGGUUGGUAGGUUGGUUAAAGGGUUGGUGGGUUGGUAACAGGGUUACAGGGUUGGUAGGUUGGUUAAAGGGUUGGUGGGUUGGUAACAGGGUUACAGGGUUGGUAGGUUGGUUAAAGGGUUGGUGGGUUGGUAACAGGGUUACAGGGUUGGUAGGUUGGUUAAAGGGUUGGUGGGUUGGUAACAGGGUUACAGGGUUGGUAGGUUGGUUACAACGUUGGUGGAUUGGUUGGUUGGUUGGUGGGUUGUUUGCAGGGAUGAUGGGUUGGUUGGUUACAGGGUUGGUAGGUUGAAAUCCACGAUCAUCUCCUUUGUUUUGUUGACGUUUAGUGUGAGGUUAUUUUCCUGACACCACACUCCGAGGGCCCUCACCUCCUCCCUGUAGGCCGUCUCGUCGUUGUUGGUAAUCAAGCCUACUACUGUAGUGUCGUCUGCAAACUCGAUGAUUGAGUUGGAGGCGUGCAUGGCCAGUGUGCAGUGU